rnacentral:rRNA from 1 species
UACGAAGGGGGCUAGCGUUGCUCGGAAUCACUGGGCGUAAAGCGCACGUAGGCGGAUCUUUAAGUCAGGGGUGAAAUCCCAAGGCUCAACCUUGGAACUGCCUUUGAUACUGGGGAUCUCGAGUCCGGAAGAGGUGAGUGGAACUGCGAGUGUAGAGGUGAAAUUCGUAGAUAUUCGCAAGAACACCAGUGGCGAAGGCGGCUCACUGGUCCGGUACUGACGCUGAGGUGCGAAAGCCAGGGGAGCAAACGGG